AAAAAGCAUAGUCAGAAAUUAUUAACUUCGCGUGACUUUACAGCUUUGUCUAGACGACAUGUUGGAUCAGUCGUUCUUCUUGCAUAAACACUUUAUUUCGAUCCAACGACGAUGUUCUUUGUUUCAUGCAGAAACACAUCGCCUUUUGAGGAUCACAGCUGUAUCUUUUUGGUGUCUGGGAAAAGGGAAGGGAAACGUUUUCAACUGAAAGGAAGUUGGGAAGUUUUCCGUUCAGCAAAAAGAAACUCGUCGCCCUUUGAGGAUCACAGCUGUAUCUUCUUGGUGACUGCGAUCGAGGGGAUACAUUUUCAACUGAAGGGAAGUUUUCCGUUCAGCGAAAAGGAGUCAUUUUCAACCAUUCCUUUAUUAUACUGAUGACAACAACUUUCAAUGGGAAAUUUGCCUAAUUGAUAAGGAGUCAUUUACAACCAUUCCUUUAUUUCACUGAUAACAACAACUUUGAGGGCAAAAUCUGCCUAACUGAUAAGAAGUAAGUGGCCACUGUACAUGUACUCCUGGAACACUUAUAUUCCUUUAUGAUUGUUCAGGGAACAUCAGCUGAGGUAAUUAGUAUGUCAUAACAUAUAUAACCCUCACAUACCUACUUAAGAACACUGUAACUGCUGCAACUGGCC